ensembl:lncRNA LINC00331 long intergenic non-protein coding RNA 331
ACCAUGUGUGGACACAGCAAGAAGGCAGCAUCUAUAAGCUAGGAAGGAGGCCCUCACCAGACUUGGAAUCUGCUGGCUUCCUGAUCUUGGCCUUUCUAGCCUCCAGAACUAUUGCCCGGGAAUGCCUUCAGGAGACUCCUUAAGAUGGACCUCAGGGAUGCAGAUGCCUUGCCUUCUGCACUGCAGCCUCUGAAUUGCUUGCUACUUUCUUACUUGUGCACAGCAAGGGGGCAUAAUUACCCAUUGGCAAGUGCUUCUGGCCUCUGGACUUCAGGGACCUAGACGUUCAAAGCCUGCUGGAAUAAAAGAACUUCCUAAGGUUCAGAACACAACCUAACACCAGCAUUCAGGGAAACAACACAAAGACUUGUCCAUGAUGGUUACAGCCACCCAAAAAAGCCAUCUUCA